rnacentral:lncRNA from 1 species
GCCGAUAUUAAUUUUAGCCGGGUUUCGGGAAUGACAAGACCUUGAGAGCUUUUUUCGUGGAAAGAACCUCGAGAAAGGAACACCUAUAUUUGAAGCGGGGCACGUCCAUGACAUGAGGGAACUGCUGGACUUGCAGGGAUCGGAGGUGACUGCUAGGUGUAUUCCGCAAACGAAGAUCAACGCACCAGCGAGAUGCGUGAAGCUCAGCAUCGGCCACAGCAAACACAUCCUAGCGGGGAGCUGCGAUUGCCUUGCUGGCGUCGCAGAGAAGCGCAAGCACGCCGCGGCAGUUGCUCUGUAUAUACAGGACGGCAAAU